rnacentral:lncRNA from 1 species
CCCCUACUCUCACCUCUCAUGCUAUAUACAGAGGAUAAAUAUUCGAAGGACUUAGUGCAGGAUUAGCAGACUGAGAGGAUGAGCAUCGCCGCCCAAAUUGUGUUUCUCUUUCUUGUGCUGUCACCAGCGAUCCUGAUGGCCUACUCCUUGCCCUCCGCUUCACAGACAGAUCUGAGCUACCGAGCAGCUGCGUGCCCCUGUGCUAGUCCUCCAUGCCCCUGCGCCUCCCAAGGAUAUGAUUAGAUGGCCCUCAAAGCCACUACGACCACAAGGACACAAGAAAAGACUCGUCGCCAGAACAACUAACACAGACUCAGAACACGACAGGCGAUCGACUUCCUCUUUCUACACGACCAGGAUUGAGGAAGAACCCAAGCACCCAUGAACUUGACACUCACCUCAUGACCACGAGAUUCACGGAGGAGUUAGCCCUUGCUUCGAUUUCCUAUUUCCAAGAAAAUGAUAAUCAAUAAACAAUGAAGGACACACUAUUAAUAUAUAUAAGGAUUCAUCGCUAAUGGUUUUGAUCUUGGUUACAUGUGUACUUGUGACUCUAUGGAAUGGUCUGUCUAAUUUUGUAUUUGGACUUCAUGACGUAUUUAUACAUUGACUGACUGUUCUUAAUUUCAAAAUGUAUAUAUACAUUGAUAAACAACGAACUUAGGAAGGAGAUAUAAGUCGUGGCGUUUCGACAAAAAAACUCGCUCUGUAUAUUACGUACAUCCACGUACCUUCAUGCUCUAGUUACUGAUUAAUCUCUACAACAAGGAAUAAAAAUGAGUCAGAAAGGAAACGAGUAAAACUCUAAGGAAA